rnacentral:rRNA from 1 species
ACAUGCAAGUCGAGCGCCUCGCAAGAGGAGCGGCAGACGGGUGAGUAACGCGUGGGAAUCUACCCAUCUCUACGGAACAACUCCGGGAAACUGGAGCUAAUACCGUAUACGUCCUUCGGGAGAAAGAUUUAUCGGGNAUGGAUGAGCCCGCGUUGGAUUAGCUAGUUGGUGGGGUAAUGGCCUACCAAGGCGACGAUCCAUAGCUGGUCUGAGAGGAUGAUCAGCCACAUUGGGACUGAGACACGGCCCAAACUCCUACGG